GCCUAAAAUCUAGCCUAAGAAUAUGUACUAUUUAAAAAGGGCUAAAUAAUAUAAAUAUAAAACAUUUUACCUUUAAAGUAGAGGCGAUCGAAAAAACUCUCAGCGCUUUAGAAACUGUACCGCAGGGGAAAGAUGAAAUAGAAAUGAAAUAAAUUUAAAGCUAAUAAAAGCAGAGAUAUAAGCUCGUACCUUUUGCAUUAUGGUCUAGCCAGUCUAAUCGAGCAAAGUGAAAACUUCAGUCCGACUUCCCGAAACUAGGCGAGCUACUUUAAAACAGCCUCAAGGGCCAACUCGUCUCUGUUGCAAUAGAGUGAGAAGAUUUUUAAGUAGAGGUGAUAUGCCUAUCGAGCUUAGAGAUAGCUGGUUAUUCAGAAAAAGAAUCUUAGUUCUGCCUUAAAUUAUAUUAUGUCUUAUAACAAAACCAAUAAUUUAAGAGUUAUUCAAUUAAGGGAUAGCUUAAUUGAAACAGGGUACAACCUAAACAACAGGGUAAAAAACCUUCAUAUAAAGAUAAGUGGGCCUAAAAGCAGCCACCUUUAAAAAAGCGUUAAAGCUAGUCUUAAUAAAACACCAAUCCUAUGAACAACUGUGAUCCCCUCCUUCAACUGAAUGACUCCAUAAUUAUAUGGAAGCCAUUAUGCUAGAACUAGUAACAAGAAUUAAUUCUCCAAAAUGUGAACAAAUACUAGGACAAAACCUACUAAUUAACGUAUAUUAACCAAAUGCAAUAACACCCCGAGAAAACCCUGCAUUACAUGUUCGUUAACCUUACACUAGAACAUCUCUGGAAAGAUUAAAAGAGAGAAAAGGAACUCGGCAAACUUCAACCCCGCCUGUUUAACAAAAACAUCGCCUUUUGACUAUAAUAAGAGGUCCAGCCUGCCCAGUGAUAAAUUUAACGGCCGCGGUACCCUAACCGUGCAAAGGUAGCAUAAUCACUUGUUCUUUAAAUAAGGACUUGUAUCAACGGCAUCACGAGGGUUUUACUGUCUCCUCUCUCCAAUCGGUGAAACUGAUCUCCCCAUGAAAAAGUGGGGAUAAACUUAUAAGACGAGAAGACCCCAUGGAGCUUUAAAACCUAUAGCAACCUAGCAAAACAUUUCCAUCUAGCUAUAAAACGAUGCUCAAGGACUUUAGGUUGGGAGGACCACGGAGCACAAGAUAACCUCCGUAAUGAAAAGAAUAAAAUCUUUACCAAAGAGCCACAACUCUAAGAAUUAGAAAACUAACGUACAUGACCCGAUAUCGAUCAAUGAACUAAGUUACCCUGGGGAUAACAGCGCAAUCCACUCUGAGAGUUCAUAUCGACGAGCGGGCUUACGACCUCGAUGUUGGAUCAGGGUAUCCUGGUGGUGCA
rnacentral:rRNA from 1 species